UCCGGUUUGGCACCGGCAGUCUCCCUAGAGUUCCCGGCAUUACCCGCUGGCAACUAAGGACAGGGGUUGCGCUCGUUGCGCCACUUAAGGCAACACCUCACGGCACGAGCUGACGACAGCCAUGCAGCACCUGUGCGGGCUCCCGAAGGAGGACCGUAUUUCUACGGCUUCACCCCGCAUGUCAAGCCCAGGUAAGGUUCUUCGCGUUGCAUCGAAUUGAGCCACAUACUCCACCGCUUGUGCAGGCCCCCGUCAAUUUCUUUGAGUUUUAAUCUUGCGACCGUACUUCCCAGGCGGCAUAUUUAACGCGUUUGCUUCGCCACAAAAGGGGCCGAAUCCUCUUACAGCAAAUAUGCACCGUUUACAGCAUAGGACUAC
rnacentral:misc_RNA from 1 species